GUGUGGUCUUCCUUCUUUGUGUAUCUUGGGGAGGCCAUAGAGUUUAGGGCAUCUGGAUGAUUUUUUUCUGGAGAUGAUUCUUUGCUUGAUCUCUUCACUGAUGGGGGAGGCUUUUAUUUUGGAUUUGAUGGUUUUUCCAGGUAGGUGGUGGGGUCGGUAUUUAAAGGUUUGUAAGCAGGGUCUUGGAGUAGGUUGGAUAGUUUGGGUUGGUAGUCCAAUGUGUUCAUCACGACCGUGGCAUUGCCUUUGUCUGCUGGGAGAAUGAUGAUGUUGUUGUCUUUCCUCAAGUUGGUGAGUGCUUUUUUGUUUUUCUCUGUGUAAGUUGCUUCUGGGUGGACUGCUGAAGCAGAGGACCUUGGUGACUUCAAGUCUGAUUUUAUUAGCUACAUCUGGGUUAAUUUUGGUUAGGCUAGCUUCAACUCCGCAUAUAAUGUUUUCGGUGGGGAUGCGUUUGGGGGCAACUGCAAAGUUGAAUCCCUUGGAAAGGACAUUGGUUUCUGCUCUGGUGGGGGUUCUGUCUGAUAUGUUGUAUACUGUUUAUUUCAUGCGUUGAUACCACUGGUUUC